CGUGACUCCCCGCCGCGCGGGCUGCCUCUGACGCCGGCCGCCGCUGCUCCCCGCUCGUCCCCUCCGUGGAGGCAGGGCCGCUCGGGCUCCUUCCGCGAGGACGCCUGUGCCUCUCUCCACCAGGGUAUCAGCCAGGGCCAGAAGACAGCAAGAUCAAAAUGGAAGCCAAUACAGCAAACAGAAGAAGAAUUCAGGAGCAUCUCUCCAGAAAUAAGACAUUGUUUCUCCCUAUUUCCUGGACCAAAAGGCUGCUCUUGUGUUUGUUUGGAAACAAAACAUAAAACCAAACUGUAAUGGAAUUCUGUUGGCUUAUACAAUUAAAAAAGAAGAAUCAGGGUGAACUUCAGACAAGUUUUUAUCUACAGCCCAGUGAUGCCCUCCAGUACCCUGCCUUCCUCAUUGUUG
rnacentral:lncRNA from 1 species